AGUGAACGCUGGCGGUAGGCCUAACACAUGCAAGUCGAACGGCAGCACAGGAGAGCUUGCUCUCUGGGUGGCGAGUGGCGGACGGGUGAGGAAUACAUCGGAAUCUACUCUGUCGUGGGGGAUAACGUAGGGAAACUUACGCUAAUACCGCAUACGACCUACGGGUGCAAGCAGGGGACCUUCGGGCCUUGCGCGAUUGAAUGAGCCGAUGUCGGAUUAGCUAGUUGGCGGGGUAAAGGCCCACCAAGGCGACGAUCCGUAGCUGGUCUGAGAGGAUGAUCAGCCACACUGGAACUAAGACACGUUCCAGACUCCUACGGGAGGCAGCAGUGGGGAAUAUUGGACAAUGGGCGCAAGCCUGAUCCAGCCAUACCGCGUGGGUGAAGAAGGCCUUCGGGUUGUAAAGCCCUUUUGUUGGGAAAGAAAUCCAGCUGGCUAAUACCCGGUUGGGAUGACGGUACCCAAAGAAUAAGCACCGGCUAACUUCGUGCCAGCAGCCGCCGUAA
rnacentral:rRNA from 1 species